rnacentral:misc_RNA from 1 species
CUGAGUUUUGUGCUAGUCUCGCUAAGUUCACUCCGCUCAAGUUCAAGCCGACAAGCCAGCGACAGGACUUCAGAAUGAUGUGUUCCCGCAACAUUAAGAUCUCGGUGGUGCUGUUUCUCGUCCUGAUACCAAUCUUCGCCGCCUUGCCACACAACCACAACCUGUCGAAGCGCAGCAACUUCUUCGACCUGGAGUGCAAGGGCAUCUUCAACAAGACCAUGUUCUUCCGACUGGACCGCAUCUGCGAGGACUGCUACCAGUUGUUCCGCGAGACGAGUAUACACCGAUUAUGCAAGAAAGACUGCUUUGAUUCAAAAUGGUUUGGCGAGUGCCUGAAAGUGCUGUUAAUACCCGAAGAGGAAAUAUCCAACCUCCAGCACUUUCUGAGAGUAGUGAACGGCUCGCCCAUAUCCUUCAACAUGGGGCCGCAAACAUAACUCUAAGUCCCGCCCACACACCCACACCCACACCCACACCACCCACCACACACCAUACAGCACACACCACACACAGUUGAGAAUCGCUGCGAACAUCGUGGGUUGGAACGGGCAUCCGAGUCCAGAUCCAGAUGCAGUCCCACUACGACCACAAAUGCAGAGCCAGAACACAGAAAUCUAAAAUAUUAAAACGCCCAAAUUUAAUUCGUACUUAUUUAUUACUGUAUGCCUUACAGUUUUUACUAUAUGUGUUUUUUUAAAAACGAAUUAUUUUUAUUAAUUUAUUGAGAACGUUAUGCGUUUGUUGUAAGUAACAUAAUCGGGGAGUGAGAGAUGGGCGAUGUUGAUGAUGAUGAUGAUAAUAAUGAUGAGGAUGAUAAUGAUGAUGAUAAGGUGGAGGAUCGCAGAUCUCGCACUCCCCAAAUAUACAUAGAAGCCGAAGUAUUUAUUUUUAAGUAUUCUUAGCUUGUUUUAUUAUUAUUGCGUUAUGCGGUUUGUAUAUAAAAUAAACAAAACGAAAUCCAUUGUUUUUAAUCUAUGUAAUGUAAAAUGAUAACUUUUAUUUUUGUAUCUGUAUUCUACUGUAAAAUCAGCAUUUAGAGUUUACAUUUUACACGAUUUUCCGCAAGGGCAAACUACAUUGAUAAAGAUAAACCCAUUACGAACACACACCCCCACACACACACACAUACACAUACGCAAUCGAGACCGAAAGUAUUUUGCAAAUGUAUUACACUUACAAUUUUGUGCUAUUUUGUAAAGAUGAAACCCUGAAUAGUGUAAAUCUGUUGGCGCAAAAACGAGAUAUUUGCCUAUAAAGUAUAUGCAUACCUAUCUAAAGCUAAAGCCCUACGUAUGUAUCCGAAUACGAAUACCCUACACACAUGCUUACUAUUAGAGAGAAAAGCAAGAUCGCAAUUUGUGCAAGACACAAACAAAAACCUGGUAAAAACACGCGAAGUACGACUGCAUUACAAAUGCGGCAAUAAAUAAUACAAAUAAACCCCUGUAAAUUAAUAAAGGAUAAUCAUUCGCUGGCUAUUUGAGAGCAUCAAAAUUGUGAUAAAUGAGAAUUUAGAAUGCGAAUGCGCGACGCAGAGCGACCAGAGACCCAGAGACACGAGAAAGUGAUCGCUAUAUCGCUAAAUAGGCGGCGGAGAAUGCCAGAGACACCGCCAGAGAAAGAGAACGCCAUGGAGGAGGCGACAGAGACAGACAGACUGCAGCUGGCGAUUUGCGCGCGUUUCUGGCGCGACUAAAAACGCCUGCUUACCGUUUUUGUUUUGGCAAGAAUGCUUCGGAUCGCCCUUCUUCAACGCCUGCAUAGAGGCUCUUCAGCUGCACGAGGAGAUGGACAAGUAUAACGAAUGGCGC